rfam:Schistosoma rodhaini strain Burundi genome assembly, scaffold: SROB_scaffold0005532
AUCCAGCUGACGAGUCCCAAAUUGGACGAAACGCGCGUCAAACUGGAU